UACGAAGGGUGCAAGCGUUGUCCGGAUUUACUGGGCGUAAAGGGCGCGUAGGCGGAUUUUUAAGUCGGGGGUGAAAACCCGGAGCUCAACUCCGGAACCGCCUUCGAUACUGAAAGUCUGGAGCACGGUAGAGGUGGGUGGAAUUCCGAGUGUAGAGGUGAAAUUCGUAGAUAUUCGGAGGAACACCAGUGGCGAAGGCGGCUCACUGGACCGUUGCUGACGCUGAGGCGCGGAAGCGUGGGGAGCAAACAGG
rnacentral:rRNA from 1 species